CGCGGAAACUCGAGCUCGGUGUCCAGGGCAGGGUGGCCAAGGACGGGGCCAUAUGUGACAUAAUGCAUUCAGAGGGAAUAACAGAGAUGAUGUUGCUCAAGUCGCAAGAUUGUGGGGGUAGAUUGGACAAGGUCAUCAAUUCUCAGGACACAAUGCUGCUCGAGCCAAAAUCUAAGACUAAGGCUGGAGAAUGUUUAUUCUCCACUGCUGUGCUGGCUGGUAAUGCAAAAUACAUUCCGUGCUCAAAAACCAAGUGUGGCGGCCUUACAAUGAUGCGUUGUGAAAAUCCGAAUUGCUUAGCUAACAACGUGAUGAGAUGGGCAACACAUGUGAUGUUUAGGAUCUUUCUCGGCAAGCAAAUAUUUUUAGCUUUUAAUCUAAAAUGUUUUUGUACUUUCAGAGCGGCAUUUAGGAAAGGACAAACUGUCUACGUUGAUCCAAAGUAGGAAAUCAAUGUACAACAUUCCUAUCAUGGAAGUGCUGCAAGCUUUACAAGCAGCUAGGAUUCUUAAAACUACUGAAUUUGAACUUCAACAUAUAAGAAGUAUAGUGCUUGGGGUGAGCCUUAAGUAUUCUGAGUUAGAUUCAAGGUUGGCUGGAUUGGAUGAUUGUUUGGCAAUUUUU